rnacentral:misc_RNA from 1 species
GAUGUGGGGGUUGCUGGCCUCUUUUAAAGGAGGUCAGCUCUCCUGAAAUGCAUUAGCAGAACAACCUGUUUCGUUCAUUGGUGUGAUAACUAUCUACGCUAUAGAACCGUGAAGGCAGUUCAGCUCUCUAACCGUCCUUUGGGACAAUUUAUUCAUCUAUAUGUGACCUCAAAUCAGGUAGGACUACCCGCUGAACUUAA